GUAACAGGCAAGUAAGUUUUCCCACACAUGCCCAGCCACAGGCAAUAACAAAACAAUAGGCAUGGAAUCAUUCCCUUAGCGAUUAAAACCUAAAACCGUGUUUCUUGAUCAGAAAUUCAGAACCACAAACCCAGGUUCCUGAAUUGAAGCCUCCCACUCCAACAAUCGCUAGGUUUUCUCUUCCGACACGAUGGGAGGCGAGGAGAAGCGGCACCAGAUGAUGCAGAACCUCUUCGGCGACCAAUCCGAGGAGGAAGAAGAGCUCGAUUCCGAGCACGAAUCCAAUCCGCAACUCAAUUACCCUUCCGACGAGGGCGAAGGAGGCGGCGGCGCCGAGCAGGAGGGCGAGGGCGAAGUGGAGGGUCAGGGCGAGGUCGAGAUAGAGAGCGACGGCGACGGCGAGCCCGACCCCGGCGAGAGCGAGGGCGAGAGGGAGCAAAGCUCGCAGGAGGUGGAAGCCGGGGAGAGAGAAGAGAGCGAGGGGAGAGACUCCGAUAGCGACGUCAAAGACGACGGCGACGGUUACAGCCAGCGCGGCGUCACCAGCAAGCGCAGGGACGACGUCGUCGAGACUGGAUCUGAGAGGUCCGAGGAGAACCAUUACGCUCCACACGACGACGAGGAAGAGGAGGUUGACGAAGCCAGAAGCCCUAGUGGGUCACCCAGAGAUGAAAAAGAUGAGACUCGUGACCAGCAUUCAGCCCCUGAAAUUCGUGAUGUAUUUGGUGAUUUUGAUGAUGAUGAAGAGGAGGAAAUGGGGUUUGCAGUUCAGCAGGAUAUGGAACAAGAUUCAAAUAGAUAUCCUGUGGAGGAGGAAGGAAGUUAUGGAAAGAACCUGAGACCAGAAGAUAUACUUGCUGAUGAAGAUCAUCAGUAUGAAUCUGAAGAGGAAAACAUUGAGAUAAAAACUAAAGAGAAGCCACUUGGCCCCCCUUUAGAGUUGGAGGUUCCAUUACGACCACCUCCCGCUCUACCAGAAAAGAUGAACAUGAUUAAAGUUUCCAAUAUUAUGGGUGUUGAUCCAAAACCAUUUGACCCUAAAACAUAUGUGGAAGAGGAUACUUUUGUAACUGAUGAAUCUGGAGCUAGAAAGCGCAUACGUUUGGAGAACAAUAUUGUACGCUGGAGGACUACUAGAAAUCCUGAUGGCACAACAUCUUGUGAAAGCAAUGCUCGCUUUGUGAGGUGGUCUGAUGGCAGCCUGCAGCUAUUAAUUGGGAAUGAAGUUCUAGACAUAUCAGUGCAAGAUGCACAGCAUGAUCAAGCACAUCUUUUUCUUAGACAUGGAAAGGGAAUACUCCAAUCACAAGGAAGGUUAUUAAGAAAAAUGAGGUUUAUGCCAUCUUCCUUGUCAUCAAAUUCUCAUCGUCUGUUGACUGCUCUUGUUGACUCAAGGCAUAAGAAGGUUUAUAAGGUUAAAAACUGCAUUACUGACAUUGAUCCUGAGAGGGAAAAAGAGGAAAAGGAGAAGGCUGAAAGUCAAACAAUCCGGGCUAAUGUGCUGCUCAACCGAAAGCGUGAGAAGGUGAGCCGGAAAUAUACUCCAGCGGUGGAUAGGAGGCGCCAACUUUCACCUGGGUUUUUAGAGGAUGCUUUGGAUGAGGAGGAUGAAACAGAUUAUUAUGAUUCUCGUCGUUCUCAGCGUCGCUUUGAGGAUGAUUUGGAAGCGGAAGCCCGAGCAGAGAAACGAAUUAUGAAUGUUAAAAAGUCACAGGGACCCAAAGAUAUCCCCCGAAAAUCUUCCUUCCCACCUGCUAAAUCCUCUCGGAAUCCAAUGGGUUACCAAGAUGAUGAGAGAGAAGAGUCUGAGUAUGAAACUGAUGAUGAGGAAGAUGAGAGGCCUCCUUCACGUAAGAGGGAUGAGGAUACUGAGCCAGAGUAUGAGGAUGAGGAAGAAGAAGAAGAACACUAUGAAGAAGCAGAACAAGUUAAUGAUGCAUCAGAUGAGGAGGAAGAGGAGGAACCCAAGCAAAAGAGUAAGGAGUUUAGAAGCAGCACCAAAAGGAAGGGAUUUGAAUCUGAUGAGGACUCUCCUCCUAGGAAAACAACCACCCAUAGGCGAAUGGCGGUUGUGUAUGACAGUGAUGAGGAAUGAACUUCCGUAAGCCAGAUUUUCAUGGAAUCUUGUUGGCCAUGAGAUGAUGAGCCAUGUUUCUUGGCAGAAGAGAAAAAAAGUAUAUUGCAAUCGGAAGGAUUUUUGCGUAGACUGCAGCUUUCGGAUGCAGCGAAGGCUGUGAUGGGUCAUUUUUUUUUUCUCCCUUUAUAUAGCUAACAAUUAUAAUACUUGAUCCUUAUAUACAUAAAGAGGCAAGAGCCUGACACUGAUUUAAUAUUCGUUCUCAGGUUACAAUAUACAUAUAUGUUGUCGAUUGCUAAUGGUGAUCAGUGUAAAUAAGUUUGUUUUCUGUAUUUUCCGUUUGCAAAUAAAACUUUAGUCUAAGGGCAGGUUAAGUAACGGUGGAAACAGUGCCGGACCUCCCCUUUCCGUA